UUUUAUUGAAAUUUGGUUCAUAAACACGUAAACAAACAAUAAUUGCUAUUAUGAUAGGUUAUUUGUAACAACGACAGUCGUUUAUUUAUUGUUUCAUUGACACAAAAAACAGAGGAGCAAGCUAUGUUUGUAGUACGUUUGUCUUUCGUCAAUAUGUUUAUGAAAGGUAAUAACAAAAGCACUGCAUCCCACCUAAAAUCUAACAUAAACUUUUCAAUAGAUGUUUAAGAUUCAUCCGAGUACUUGCGAGUACUCGAGUAUUAUGACCGAGUAUCCGAGUAUUAAAUUUCAGAUCUUUUGACAUCCCUAUUUUGAUGUGAAUAACUAGCUAACAUGCCAAAUGUUAGUUUACAGUGACAGUCUGACAGAGUUGAUAAAAAAUCAGCAACAUGAAAAAAUAAAGUGUCUGCAAUCAAGUCUUCUGACACGAUAACAUAGUCAACC
rnacentral:lncRNA from 1 species